rnacentral:lncRNA from 1 species
CACUUUGCCCAGUGCUUAUAGCAUAUCACCUAUUCUAUGGGUCUCCUCAAGAACUGUGUUCCAGAAUUCCCUGGGAACAUGUCCUCUUCGGCAGACGGUGUUCACAUCUUACUAUCUUAUAGCACUCUUCCUGUGAGGCUCCUCACAUCCCUAUAAGAAGAGCAGCAUUUCCCUUGUGUGAAAUGUACAGGUGAGCUCUACGCUUUAGUCAGCUUCCUGUUCACCGGGAGUAUCUAAAGCAGGCGUUCUCAGGCUGCGGGUCGAGACCCUCGGAGGGGUCUCAUAUCAGAGAUCCCGCACAUCAGAGAUCCCGCACAUCAGAGAUCCCGCACAUCAGAGGUCCCGCACAUCAGAGGUCCCGCACAUCAGAGGUCCCGCACAUCAGGUAUUAUGGUUGAUGCUUACCACAAUGCCAAAGGAACUGUAUUAAAGGUUGCGGCAUUAGGAAAGUUAAAAGCCACUGAAAAAAGGCAAAUGUCUGAACAAGAAUUGUUUU